rnacentral:rRNA from 1 species
UACGUAGGGACCGAGCGUUGUCCGGAAUCAUUGGGCGUAAAGAGCGUGUAGGCGGCCACUUAAGUCCUGCGUGAAAUCUUGCGGCUCAACCGCAAGCGGUCGUGGGAAACUGGGUGGCUAGAGUGCGGGAGAGGAGAGUGGAAUACCUGGUGUAGCGGUGGAAUGCGCAGAUAUCAGGAAGAACACCCGUGGCGAAGGCGGCUCUCUGGAACGCAACUGACGCUGAGACGCGAAAGCGUGGGGAGCAAACAGG